rnacentral:rRNA from 1 species
UACGGAGGGGGCUAGCGUUGUUCGGAAUUACUGGGCGUAAAGCGCACGUAGGCGGCUUUACAAGUCAGAGGUGAAAGCCCGGAGCUCAACUCCGGAAUUGCCUUUGAGACUGUAUCGCUUGAACGUCGGAGAGGUGAGUGGAAUUCCGAGUGUAGAGGUGAAAUUCGUAGAUAUUCGGAAGAACACCAGUGGCGAAGGCGGCUCACUGGACGACUGUUGACGCUGAGGUGCGAAAGCGUGGGGAGCAAACAGG